UAUGAGAUUAAGGCUUUGAUUGAUUGAUACCUAACCUUAAUCUAAUCCUCAUGUUAAGAUUAUUUUGAUAAAAUCACUCGUUUACCUUCACUAAUCAUAUUGUUAGAUUGUGUGUCUAAAAGAUGUGUUGCAAAUAAAAAAAAAGGAAAUAAAAACUAAGUAAAAAAGAGCAACAAACGAAAUCAAAGUCUCCCAAUUAUAUUAUAGUUCGUUAAUAGGAAGGAAUAACAAUACAUGGUGAUAAACAGUGGCGGACUGGGCCUUGUGCCUGGUGAGGCAAAUGACUCACCAGGGCCCAAAAAAAAUUCUAAGUUUUUUUUUUUUUUUUUUUUUUUAAAAAAAAUAAAAAUAAAAAAUAAAAAAUUCUAACUUCAGCCUGUUGACUUGCCGAGUCCCGACUUCCUCAAGCCCUAGCCCCCGCUACCGCUGCUCUUUGCUUCUUCAUCUUCACCCAAAUCCCGCAUUUCUGCCGGCAGCCGACUCCGUGAGACGAGACCUACAGACGACCAGCGGUCAGCGGACCAGACGGCCAGACCUCCAGUGCUGCUCACUGCUCUUCGCUUCUUCUUCAUCUUCGGCUUCAGAGUCCGCCGAGUUCAACCCGGGUUCAUCUUCUGCACCUUCAAGCACUAGAAGAAAAAAGGUGAUGGGAAGCCACAAAUUGGAAGCGGUUAUUGAAAUCCGCUUCUAAUUCCUUACAAAAAUUCCCGGCAAAAAAGAAAAAAAAAGGAUAGAAUUGGAAGCGGUUUGAGUUUGCCUUUCACCUUCUCCUCAAAGAUGAAGGUCGCAACUUCAUUUUCGCGUUCCCCUUUCACCUUCUCCUCGCCGCAGCUGCAACCACAUUUCGCGUUCCCCUUUCAUUCUCCCUCCUCAUUCACUAAUGGUCAUGGUGGUCGUGAGAGAUAACGACUGUGUGGUUUGAUUUCUAGGAUUUUUUUUGGUGUUCAUGGGUUUCGAUUUGUAACUGUUGGUGGUGGUGGAGAGCAGCGAUGGUGAGGUUCGAUUUGUGCAUAUAGAUAUGCAAAGUAGCUAGAAUUUUGAAUGUGUUUGGCUUCAUGUGUGUUUUUCAUUUGCUAAUUGCCUAAUUUAAUUUACGAUUUAGGGAUUUUUGAUGUAGGUUUUCUGUAUUUGAUUUAAUUAUGUCAUUUUUGUUUAAAUUUGUGUUUUGUGCCAGUUUUUGCUCGGAAAGUUGAAGGGGUUUUGUUAUCUACUAAUGGGUAGUCAGGAUUAGCUGAUUUUUGUGUGAAUAAGGAUUGUUUUGAAGUUUAAUUAGCUUAAUUUAUGUGGAAUUUGUGCUCAAAUAAAGUACUUGCUAUCUGUAUAAUCAUUUUGUUUGCUUAAACUAAACAAUUUCGUCUAAAAAAGUAGAAAUUGAAGAUUGGUUUUGAGUCUUUUGACUGUGUUUAAUUGAUAUUAAUUAUUGAAUUUAUUAUCAUUCAUUCUGCAUUUAUCAUGUAUGUGUCGCAAUAACUGAUUUGGAUGAUCUUUGUAAAUAAUUUUUCUGGGGAAUAUUGCUUGAUUUAGUUGAAUAUUGCUUGAUUUAGUUGAAUAUGAACCGUCCAACCAAUUAUGAAUAGGGGUAAUUCGCUGUUGGGGUUAUUUGCAUAUGAUUCAUACUUGUGAUUUCAUUUGUUUUGUUAACUUUGUGUUUGAUUAGGUUGUUGAAUUUAUAUGCAGGGAAGACUCAGCUUAUCAAUCAUUUUCUAAUCAACAAGAGUUGGUAUAUUGUUAAUUUGCCUGGAUAUGGGUGAGUCUCUGUAAUUUUGGUUUUAAUUUGGGCAAUUUCUGUAAUUCUUGAGUCUAUUUCAUGCUGGGAAUAUUGUAUACUUGUAUUGUGAAUCAAUUGUUAUUCGUGUUUAUUCCUGAUCAUAUGCUUGAAUCAUAUUGAAGUGCCAAAAAAGGAUUGCUUUUACACCUUGAGGCAUUGCUUCAAAAUUAUUGAUCAUCCUGUAAAACAUGUUGCGGACUGAUAUGUAUUUAGGCUACAUCCGUUGUAGUUAAUUUGGUC